rnacentral:rRNA from 1 species
AGAACGAACGCUGGCGGCAGGCCUCAAACAUGCAAGUCUAGGGGGUGUAGCAAUACAUCACCGGCGGACGGGUGCGUAACACGUGGGAAUAUACCUUUUGGUUCGGAACAACGCAGGGAAACUUGCGCUAAUACCGAAUGUGCCCUUACGGGGAAAGAUUUAUCGCCAAAGGAUUAGCCCGCGUAGGAUUAGCUAGUUGGUGAGGUAAUGGCUCACCAAGGCUCCGAUCCUUAGCUGUUCUGAGAGGAAGAUCAGCCACACUGGGACUGAGACACGGCCCAGACUCCUACGGGAGGCAGCAGUGGGGAAUAUUGGACAAUGGGCGCAAGCCUGAUCCAGCCAUGCCGCGUGGAUGAUGAAGGCCUUAGGGUUGUAAGUCCUUUAACGGGAGAUAAUGACGGUACCGUAGAUAAGCCCGGCUAACUUCGUGCCAGCAGCCGC